rnacentral:tRNA from 3 species
GCCAGCGUGACGGAAUUGGUAGACGUAUCGCAACAGCGAUCCCGGCAACGGGUGUGGGUUCGAUCCCCUACCGCUGGCA